rnacentral:rRNA from 11 species
ACGACUCUCGGCAACGGAUAUCUCGGCUCUCGCAUCGAUGAAGAACGCAGCGAAAUGCGAUACUUGGUGUGAAUUGCAGAAUCCCGUGAACCAUCGAGUUUUUGAACGCAAGUUGCGCCCAAAGCCUUUUGGCCGAGGGCACGUCUGCCUGGGUGUCACGCAACA